rnacentral:lncRNA from 10 species
CGGACCAAGUGCCCCCUGCACUUUCAACGCCGUAGGUCUCCCGGCAGCCCUGGAAGGACAGUCUUACCCGGACGCCACGGUGGUCUCCCGGCAGCCCUGGGAAGGACAGUCUUACCCGGACGCCACGGUGGUCUCCCGGCAGCCCUGGGAAGGACAGUCUUACCCGGACGCCACGGCCGAGCUGCCCUUCCCUCCCUGCUGCCCCCAGGGAAGGCUGCUGGUGUCCUCAGAUGCGGGCAGGAGGAACCCGCCAGCGCCUGAGAGCCUGGCCCGAACCAGGCCUGGAGGUGCUGGGGCGAAGACACAGAGGAUGUGGCCUCCAUCCCUGGUAACAGACGGUUACCAGGGCGGCUUUGGGUGAGGACAUUGAAAAAGGUCAGACUCCCUGGGAGCAGCGCCCUGGACUCCAUUCUCAUCACAGACCAGUGGUUCCCAAUUGAAGUCAGUUUUGCUCCUCAGGGCACACUUAACAACAUCUGGAGACAUUUUUAAUUGUCCUGACCGAGAGGACAAUGCUACUGGCAUCUAGUGGACAGAGGCCAGGGAUACUGCUGAACAUCCCGCAGUGCACAGGACGCCUGCAACACAGAUUAUCCAGCCCCAAACGUCAAUAGUGCCGGAGUUAUGGAACCCUAAUGAAGACAAUUCUUGAAGGCAUAGACUGAAUCUUAUUUAUCUUUGUUUCCCUCAUGUCUCACAAGCAGAGUAUGAGUUCAGCAAAUAGGAGUUGAACAGAAAUCAGGAGGAGGUGCUGAUUGACAGGAAAAAAGAAAGAUUUAGUUUAGAGCUGAGAAUUCAGCUGGACAGCCAUAGGGGCUCUGGCAUGGAGACUGGAAGUCAGAAGAGAAUUUGCAGCAAGACAUUUAGAGCCAUUUAUCCAGCCAUCAUAAUUUUAUUGAGUAACUAUUUUGUGUGAGGCACUGUACUGGAUGCUUUGGCAACAGAGAUAAGCAAGGCAACCCCUGUGA